rnacentral:rRNA from 1 species
CCCUUAGAUGUUCUGGGCGGCCCGCGCACUACAUUGGCACUCUCAAUAAGUUCCUAGAUCUAAAACUUUGGGGUAUUCUAUUAAGUGGUGUCGUGACUGGGAUUAACCCUUGCAAUUAUUGGUUACGAACGAGGAAUUCCUUGUAAUCGCGGUUUAUCAGCCCGCGUUGAAUGCGUCCCUGCCCUUUGUACACACCGCCCGUCGCUACUGCCAACUGAGAUGGGUCCUGAAUUGUUAGGAACGCCCGUCAAGGGGCCUACCCGGUCCCUAGUGCGGUGACGAGAAUAACUGUAAAUGGCAUAUCUUGUAGGGAGUAAAAGUCGUAACA